CAUUACCCGUCCUCUGCUUUCUUCCUCUUCCUCCGAAAUCUCCAAGUCCCUUUCACUCUGUCUCCCUUUCUUCCCGAUUUCCAGAUUUCAUUUCUUCCUCUCCGUUUCUUCCCUCCGUUUCCUCUCACCUCUUUUUUUUUGCCAAGCUAUCCAUUCCCUUUGUCGUGAGAGUCACCAGUUCAUCUUCAUCCAUUUGAAAUUAAACUUCCACUAAAGUUCAAGUUCCUACGAGUACGGGGUGUUUCAGGUGAAAGAGGAACUCCAUCACCUCCAGGCAAGCCUUGUUUUGACUUCACCACGGACUCUCCCUCUCUGUACUGAUCUGCAUUGCGAUGAAGUUUUAUGAGGGAUCAGUGGGUGAUCGAAUGGCCCGGCUCAAAGGUGGGCAAUCUUCAAUUGUCUAAUGUUUUAAGAUUUUGAUGCAGAUGAGGAGGAGGAGGGUGAGCCUGAGGAGAC